CCUACGGGAGGCAGCAGUGGGGAAUAUUGCACAAUGGGGGAAACCCUGAUGCAGCGACGCCGCGUGAGUGAAGAAGUAUCUCGGUAUGUAAAGCUCCAUCAGCAGGGAAGAAAAAAGACGGUAGCUGACUAAGAAGCACCGGCUAACUACGUACCAGCAGCCGCGGUAAUACGUAGGGGGCAAGCGUUAUCCGGAUUUACUGGGUGUAAAGGGAGCGUAGACGGCGCGGCAAGUCUGAAGUGAAAGGCAGGGGCUUAACCCCUGAACUGCGUUGGAAACUGCCAUGCUAGAGUGCGGGAGAGGUAGGUGGAAUUCGUAGUGUAGCGGUGAAAUGCUUAGAUAUUAGGAGGAACACCAGUGGCGAAGGCAGCUUGCUGGACCGUAACUGACGUUGAGGCUCGAAAGCGUGGGGAGCGAACAGGAUUAGAUACCCGGGUAGUC
rnacentral:rRNA from 1 species